GUAACGCGUGGGUAAUCUGCCUCCGAAUCGGGGAUAACAUUGCGAAAGCGAUGCUAAUACCGGAUAAAAUCUGGUUGGCUUCGGUGAACCGGAUCAAAGGUGGUCUCUUUAUAAAAGCUACCGUUUGGAGAUGAGCUCGCGUACCAUUAGCUAGUUGGUGAGGUAAAGGCUCACCAAGGCGACGAUGGUUAGCUGGUCUGAGAGGAUGAUCAGCCACACCGGAACUGGAACACGGUCCGGACUCCUACGGGAGGCAGCAGUGAGGAAUUUUGCGCCAUGGGGGAAACCCUGACGCAGCAACGCCGCGUGAGUGAUGAAGGCUUUCGGGUCGUACAGCUCUGUCAGGUGGGAAGAACCCACCAAGUGUUAAGAUCACUUGGUGCUGACGGUACCACCGUAAGGAAGCACCGGCGGACUCGGGCGCACAAGCCGCGGUAAUACGGGGGGCACGAGCGUUAGUCGGAUCAAGGAGCGUAAAGGGCGCGCAGACGAUUUGGCAAGUCAGAUGCGAAUCCCGGGGGCUUAACCCCGGAAGUGCAUAUGAAACUAUGAGACUUGAGUAUGGGAGAAGGAAGCGGAAUUCCUGCUGUAACGGUGAAAUGCGUAGAUAUCAGGAGGAACACCGGUGGCGAAGACGGCUUCCUGGACCAAUACUGACGCUGAGGCGCGAAGGCGUGGGGAGCGAACAGGAUUAGAUACCCUGGUAGUCCACGCAGUAAACGUUGAUCACUAGGUGUAGCGGGUAUUGACCCCUGCUGUGCCGGAGUCAUACGCAUUAAGUGAUCCGCCUGGGGAGUACGAUCGCAAGAUUAAAACUCAAAGGAAGUGACGGGGGCCCGCACAAGCGGUGGAGCAUGUGGACUAAUUCGACGCAACGCGAAGAACCUUACCUGGACUUGACAUCUCGGGAAUUCCGUUGAAAGACGGGAGUGCCUUUGACGAGGAAUCCGAUGACAGGUGCUGCAUGACUGUCGUCAGCUCGUGUCGUGAGAUGUUGGAUUAAGUCCCGCAACGAGCGCAACCCCUAUCUUCAGUUACCAUCAGCUGAUGCUGGGGACUUAGGAGAUACUGCCCCGGUUAACGGGGAGGAAGGUGGGGAUGACGUCAAGUCCUCAUGGCCUUUAUGUCCAGGGUUACACACGUGCUACAAUGGUAUGUACAAAGGGAAGCGAUCCCGCGAGGAGGAGCUAAUCCCAAAUAGCAUAUCAAAGUUCGGAUCGGAGUCUGCAACUCGACUUCCGUGAAGUUGGAAUCGCUAGUAAUCGCGGAUCAGCAUGCUGCGGUGAAUACGUUCCCGGGCCUUGUACACACCGCCCGUCACACCAUGAGAGUUGGCUGUACCAGAAGUCGU
rnacentral:rRNA from 1 species